CCUACGGGGGGCAGCAGUGAGGAAUAUUGGUCAAUGGACGAGAGUCUGAACCAGCCAAGUAGCGUGAAGGAUGACUGCCCUAUGGGUUGUAAACUUCUUUUAUAUGGGAAUAAAACGUUCCACGUGUGGGAUUUUGUAUGUACCAUAUGAAUAAGGAUCGGCUAACUCCGUGCCAGCAGCCGCGGUAAUACGGAGGAUCCGAGCGUUAUCCGGAUUUAUUGGGUUUAAAGGGAGCGUAGGUGGAUUGUUAAGUCAGUUGUGAAAGUUUGCGGCUCAACCGUAAAAUUGCAGUUGAAACUGGCAGUCUUGAGUACAGUAGAGGUGGGCGGAAUUCGUGGUGUAGCGGUGAAAUGCUUAGAUAUCACGAAGAACUCCGAUUGCGAAGACAGUUCACUGGACUGCAACUGACACUGAGGCUCGAAAGUGUGGGUAUCAAACAGGAUUAGAUACCCCGGUAGUC
rnacentral:rRNA from 1 species